UCCCUGGUGGUCUAGUGGUUAAGGAUGUGGCAUUGUCACUGCUGUGGCUUAGGUUCAAUUCCUGACCCGGGAA
rnacentral:tRNA from 1 species